UGCAAAGGCAGGAACUGCAACUCGGAGAAUCUCUGAAGGAACUUACAUUUCUGUUACAUGGGAAGACAUACUGCCUAAAGUUUUUUUCUUUUUUUUUUUAAAUGUAAAUGCUUUGAAUAUUAUAUUGUGAUAAAGAGGGUCUUCAGAUCCCAGACCUUGAUUGCUGCAUUGCAAGGGACAGAGGGACCCAGCUGAGCUGCAUCUGGAUUUCUGACCCACCCAAACUAACACAAAGUGGCUUGCAGAGCCCAUAUCCAUUUGAAUAAAGACGGAACAACCACUGCAGCAAAAGCUUAGCUGCCAGAUGCUCUGCUUGUUGACUCGGUUGAAUUUCUAUCACCCUCUACAGUCUCUGGGUGAGGACUUCGCUCAUCUGGGGACUCCCGAUAGUUUUGGAAUUAAAAAUUGGAUUCCAAAUGGUAGAGAUGUAAUUCCUAAACACACCGAAAGAGGUGAUGCCAACUAUUC
ensembl:lncRNA